GGAGAAGGCUAUGUUGGCCGGGCGACGGUUGUCCCGGUUUAAGCGUGUAGGUGUGUGUUCCAGGUAAAUCCGGUUCACUUUAACACUGAGGCGUGAUGACGAGGCACCACGGUGCUGAAGCAACAAAUGCCCUGCUUCCAGGAAAAGCCUCUAAGCCUCAGGUAACAUCAAAUCGUACCCCAAACCGACACAGGUGGUCAGGUAGAGAAUACCAAGGCGCUUGAGAGAACUCGGGUGAAGGAACUAGGCAAAAUGGUGCCGUAACUUCGGGAGAAGGCACGCUGACACGUAGGUGAAGUGGUUUACCCAUGGAGCUGAAGUCAGUCGAAGAUACCAGCUGGCUGCAACUGUUUAUUAAAAACACAGCACUGUGCAAACACGAAAGUGGACGUAUACGGUGUGACGCCUGCCCGGUGCCGGAAGGUUAAUUGAUGGGGUCAGCGCAAGCGAAGCUCCUGAUCGAAGCCCCGGUAAACGGCGGCCGUAACUAUAACGGUCCUAAGGUAGCGAAAUUCCUUGUCGGGUAAGUUCCGACCUGCACGAAUGGCGUAAUGAUGGCCAGGCUGUCUCCACCCGGGACUCAGUGAAAUUGAACUCGCUGUGAAGAUGCAGUGUACCCGCGGCAAGACGGAAAGACCCCGUGAACCUUUACUAUAGCUUGACACUGAACACUGGUCCUUGAUGUGCAGGAUAGGUGGGAGGCUUUGAAGUGUGGACGCCAGUCUGCAUGGAGCCAUCCUUGAAAUACCACCCUUUAAUGGCUGGUGUUCUAACGUGGGCCCGUGAACCGGGUUGCGGACAGUGUCUGGUGGGUAGUUUGACUGGGGCGGUCUCCUCCUAAAGAGUAACGGAGGAGCACGAAGGUUGGCUAAUCCUGGUCGGACAUCAGGAGGUUAGUGCAAUGGCAUAAGCCAGCUUGACUGCGAGCGUGACGGCGCGAGCAGGUGCGAAAGCAGGUCAUAGUGAUCCGGUGGUUCUGAAUGGAAGGGCCAUCGCUCAACGGAUAAAAGGUACUCCGGGGAUAACAGGCUGAUACCGCCCAAGAGUUCAUAUCGACGGCGGUGUUUGGCACCUCGAUGUCGGCUCAUCACAUCCUGGGGCUGAAGUAGGUCCCAAGGGUAUGGCUGUUCGCCAUUUAAAGUGGUACGCGAGCUGGGUUUAGAACGUCGUGAGACAGUUCGGUCCCUAUCUGCCGUGGGCGCUGGAAGAUUGAGGGGGGCUGCUCCUAGUACGAGAGGACCGGAGUGGACGCAUCACUGGUGUU
rnacentral:rRNA from 1 species